CUGAAUAAACGAGCUUCGAUCUCGCGACAAUUUAAUUAACAGCUAAAUACCCAAUCCAGCGGGCUUCUAUUCAGCUUCCCCGUCUCGGCUGUGACGGGGA
rnacentral:tRNA from 1 species